rnacentral:rRNA from 1 species
UAAUACAGAGGGUGCAAGCGUUAAUCGGAAUUACUGGGCGUAAAGCGCGCGUAGGCGGUUUUUUAAGUCGGAUGUGAAAUCCCUGGGCUCAACCUAGGCACUGCAUCCGAUACUGGCUAACUAGAGUAUGGGAGAGGAAGGUAGAAUUCCAGGUGUAGCGGUGAAAUGCGUAGAGAUCUGGAGGAAUACCGAUGGCGAAGGCAGCCAUCUGGCCUAAUACUGACGCUGAGGUACGAAAGCAUGGGGAGCAAACAGGAUUAGAUACCCUGGUAGUCCAUGCCGUAAACGAUGUCUACUAGCCGUUGGGGCCUUUGAGGCUUUAGUGGCGCAGCUAACGCGAUAAGUAGACCGCCUGGGGAGUACGGUCGCAAGACUAAAACUCAAAUGAAUUGACGGGGGCCCGCACAAGCGGUGGAGCAUGUGGUUUAAUUCGAUGCAACGCGAAGAACCUUACCUGGCCUUGACAUGUCUGGAAUCCUGCAGAGAUGCGGGAGUGCCUUCGGGAAUCAGAACACAGGUGCUGCAUGGCUGUCGUCAGCUCGUGUCGUGAGAUGUUGGGUUAAGUCCCGCAACGAGCGCAACCCUUUUCUUUAUUUGCCAGCACGUAAUGGUGGGAACUCUAAAGAUACUGCCGGUGACAAACCGGAGGAAGGCGGGGACGACGUCAAGUCAUCAUGGCCCUUACGGCCAGGGCUACACACGUGCUACAAUGGU